CCUACGGGAGGCAGCAGUGGGGAAUUUUGGACAAUGGACGCAAGUCUGAUCCAGCCAUGCCGCGUGCGGGAAGAAGGCCUUCGGGUUGUAAACCGCUUUUGUCAGGGAAGAAAUCUUCUGAAUUAAUACUUCGGGAGGAUGACGGUACCUGAAGAAUAAGCACCGGCUAACUACGUGCCAGCAGCCGCGGUAAUACGUAGGGUGCAAGCGUUAAUCGGAAUUACUGGGCGUAAAGCGUGCGCAGGCGGUUAUGCAAGACAGGUGUGAAAUCCCCGAGCUCAACUUGGGAACUGCACUUGUGACUGCAUAGCUAGAGUACGGUAGAGGGGAGUGGAAUUCCGCGUGUAGCAGUGAAAUGCGUAGAUAUGCGGAGGAACACCGAUGGCGAAGGCAGCUCCCUGGACCUGUACUGACGCUCAUGCACGAAAGCGUGGGGAGCAAACAGGAUUAGAUACCCUGGUAGUCCACGCCCUAAACGAUGUCAACUGGUUGUUGGGAGGGUUUCUUCUCAGUAACGUAGCUAACGNGUGAAGUUGACCGCGUGGGGAGUCGGCCGCGAAGGUUAGAAACGUCGAAAGUAGUAGUCGACGNGAGAGAGACGACGACGGACGACGACGGAGGGAGGAG
rnacentral:rRNA from 1 species